rnacentral:lncRNA from 1 species
CAUCUAGAUGUGUAUAAGAGGUCGGCUGUUGUUGUGUGGGUCCCGCUCUAGCACAAAGUUAAGGAUGAAGGUGAAAAGGAGGAGGUUUGAAGGACUUGGGCUCUCCCUGGCAAGUACAUUGAUCAAAGAUUGAGAGGGGAAUGACAGAGAGAAAAUGAGCUGAAAAGUGCAGGCUGCCGGCUGGACGAGUUGUUGUUGUCACACGGUGCAGAGGGGAGGAGCUCCGGAAACUUGAAAUACCCUUUGAAGCCGCAAAAACCUCACUCACUAGUAUUAACCCAAAUUAUCCAACCAGGAACUCGGAGCAGAGACUCCGAGAGCGCGAGACACUGGAGAGGGAGCGUGCGAGGAAAGGAGGAGGGGAGGGGGAGGAUACGGAAAGAAACUGGGAGGGACGGAGAGGAAAAGCCGGGGACGCAGAAGUGGCGAUCGGAAAAGGAGAGGGAGAUCUUCCACUUCUCUUCUGUACUACCGUUAGAUUGCAUGUCUCACAUUCCAUUUCGUCCGUGGCAACUGUCAUCAGAGGAGCCAUUAGAGUCUUCCUCAAGACUGAAAACGUAAGUGAGAGUGCAUCUUGAAGUGCUGCAACAGAGGAUGAGGAAAAGAUUAGCAUGUGAAGUUCUACCUACCAAAUGUGAGUAAGCAUGGAUAUGUGCCACAGUUUGUAAAGUUUUUUUACUGUAACAUCACCAUCACUUUAGUGUACAUAGCAGUCUCUGUUAUAUAGAUCAUACUUAUCUUUGUGCACUGACCACAUGCUGGUUGCUGAGGAGGCAAAGGAGAAAAGGCUUUCAUCCUUAUCAACCUUUACUGUACCUUAUUUCUGUUGAGUCUUAUUACCAUAACAUUGUUGAAAUUUUGCGUUAGUGGAGCCUGGAAGAUCAUCUAAUCCUAAGUUGCAGAUCUCAUGCUACCAUUUUCCCAGUGACCAUGCCAGACAUCACAAAUUGUUCUCCUGUCUUUCCCUUCAAGAUCUGAGGCAAUCUCAGAAACACUGUCAGAUUAGAAAUGUAGGCAGCCUCUCACUGUGAGCCCAACAGAUUCAUCCCCGUUUAUCACUCCUGAUCUUGCAAAAAAGAAAAUUGACAAUUAGCAGUAUAGGAGAACGUCCUUUUGUACUCACAGCUAGUUAAGGCUUAAGUCAGGUAUUGGUUUACAAUCAAGUCCUCAUUGAUUUGCUCUCCCAACUACCCUCAAAGGAAACUUUCUGAGGUAAAAAGGGGGGAAAUAUUUUUAUUUCAUUUCAUAUGUAAAGGAAAUGAAAAAAUAAUAGAGAGCACCAUUGGAUCCAAACUCACAAUUCUCUGUUUUUAUUCCUGUA